rnacentral:rRNA from 1 species
CCUACGGGUGGCUGCAGUGGGGAAUAUUGGACAAUGGGGGGAACCCUGAUCCAGCCAUGCCGCGUGUGUGAAGAAGGCCCUCGGGUUGUAAAGCACUUUCAGUGGGGAAGAACGCCUGGUGGUUAAUACCCAUCAGGAAAGACAUCACUCACAGAAGAAGCACCGGCUAACUCCGUGCCAGCAGCCGCGGUAAUACGGAGGGUGCGAGCGUUAAUCGGAAUUACUGGGCGUAAAGCGCGCGUAGGUGGCUUGAUAAGCCGGUUGUGAAAGCCCCGGGCUCAACCUGGGAACGGCAUCCGGAACUGUCAAGCUAGAGUGCAGGAGAGGAAGGUAGAAUUCCCGGUGUAGCGGUGAAAUGCGUAGAGAUCAGGAGGAAUACCAGUGGCGAAGGCGGCUUUCUGGACUGACACUGACACUGAGGUGCGAAAGCGUGGGUAGCAAACAGGAUUAGAUACCCGUGUAGUC